rnacentral:rRNA from 1 species
AGAGUUUGAUCCUGGCUCAGAUUGAACGCUGGCGGAAUGCUUUACACAUGCAAGUCGAACGGCAGCACGGAGAGCUUGCUCUCUGGUGGCGAGUGGCGAACGGGUGAGUAAUAUAUCGGAACGUACCUUGUAAUGGGGGAUAACUAUCCGAAAGGAUAGCUAAUACCGCAUACGCCCUGAGGGGGGAAAUGGGGGGAUCUUCGGACCUCACGUUAUUAGAGCGGCCGAUAUCUGAUUAGCUAGUUGGUGGGGUAAAAGCCUACCAAGGCGACGAUCAGUAGCUGGUCUGAGAGGACGACCAGCCACACUGGAACUGAGACACGGUCCAGACUCCUACGGGAGGCAGCAGUGGGGAAUUUUGGACAAUGGGCGCAAGCCUGAUCCAGCCAUUCCGCGUGAGUGAAGAAGGCCUUCGGGUUGUAAAGCUCUUUCGCAAGGAAAGAAAACUUAUUCUUUAAUAAAGAGUGAGGAUGACGGUACCUUGAUAAGAAGCACCGGCUAACUACGUG